AGUGGGGAAUAUUGCACGAAUGGGGGAAACCCUGAUGCAGCGACGCCGCGUGAGUGAGGAAGUAUUUCGGUAUGUAAAGCUCUAUCAGCAGGGAAGAAAAUGACGGUACCUGACUAAGAAGCCCCGGCUAACUACGUGCC
rnacentral:rRNA from 1 species